CCCCUUCCAGGACCUUUAGAACCCAACCCAAAGCCCCUUUAACCUUCCAGGACCUUUAGAACCCAAUUAAGCCACCCCAAUAACCCCAUUUUCCCCUUCCAGGACCCUUAUAACCCACCCCAAAGCCCCUUUACCCUUCCAGGACCUUUCCAACCCACCCCAAUAACCCCAAUAGCCCCAUUUUCCCCUUCCAGGACCCUUAUAACCCAUUUAAAGCCCCAUUUUCCCCUUCCAGGACCCUUAUAACCCAACCCAAAGCCCCUUUUUCCCCUUCCAGGACCCUCCCAUUCAUUUAAAGCCCCUAUUUCCCCUUCCAGGACCCUUAUAACCCAUUUAAUGCCCCUUUACCCUUCCA
rnacentral:lncRNA from 1 species